rnacentral:tRNA from 1 species
GGGAAUGUGGCUUAAUGGUAAAGUACUUGCCUAGCAUGCAUGAAACUCUGGGUUCAAUUCCUCAGUACCA